AGUGAACGCUGGCGGUAGGCCUAACACAUGCAAGUCGAGCGGCAGCACAGUAAGAGCUUGCUCUUACGGGUGGCGAGUGGCGGACGGGUGAGGAAUACAUCGGAAUCUACUUUUUCGUGGGGGAUAACGUAGGGAAAUUUACGCUAAUACCGCAUACGACCUACGGGUGAAAGCAGGGGAUCUUCGGACCUUGCGCGAUUGAAUGAGCCGAUGUCGGAUUAGCUAGUUGGCGGGGUAAAGGCCCACCAAGGCGACGAUCCGUAGCUGGUCUGAGAGGAUGAUCAGCCACACUGGAACUGAGACACGGUCCAGACUCCUACGGGAGGCAGCAGUGGGGAAUAUUGGACAAUGGGCGCAAGCCUGAUCCAGCCAUACCGCGUGGGUGAAGAAGGCCUUCGGGUUGUAAAGCCCUUUUGUUGGGAAAGAAAAGCAGCAGGUUAAUACCCCGCUGUUCUGACGGUACCCAAAGAAUAAGCACCGGCUAACUUCGUG
rnacentral:rRNA from 1 species